AUGAACGCUGGCGGCGUGCCUAAUACCUGCCAGUCGCGCGAACAGACGAGGAGCUUGCUCCUCUGACGUUAGCGGCGGACGGGUGAGUAACACGUGGAUAACCUACCUAUAAGACUGGGAUAACUUCGGGAAACCGGAGCUAAUACCGGAUAAUAUAUUGAACCGCAUGGUUCAAUAGUGAAAGACGGUUUUGCUGUCACUUAUAGAUGGAUCCGCGCCGCAUUAGCUAGUUGGUAAGGUAACGGCUUACCAAGGCAACGAUGCGUAGCCGACCUGAGAGGGUGAUCGGCCACACUGGAACUGAGACACGGUCCAGACUCCUACGGGAGGCAGCAGUAGGGAAUCUUCCGCAAAGGGCGAAAGCCUGACGGAGCAACGCCGCGUGAGUGAUGAAGGUCUUCGGAUCGUAAAACUCUGUUAUUAGGGAAGAACAAAUGUGUAAGUAACUAUGCACGUCUUGACGGUACCUAAUCAGAAAGCCACGGCUAACUACGUG
rnacentral:rRNA from 1 species